AGCAAUUAAACAGCGAAACUGCGAAUGGCUCAUUAAAUCAGUUAUCGUUUAUUUGAUAGUACCUUACUACAAGGAUAACAGUGGUAAUUCUAGAGCUAAUACUUGCAAAAAAUCCCAACUUCGGAAGGGAUGUAUUUAUUAGAUUAAAAACCAAUGCCCUUCGGGGCUCUCUGGUGAUUCAUAAUAACUUUUCGAAUCGCAUGGCCUUGCGCCGGCGAUGGUUCAUUCAAAUUUCUGCCCUAUCAACUUUCGACGGCUGGGUCUUGGCCAGCCGUGGUGACAACGGGUAACGGAGGGUUAGGGCUCGACCCCGGAGAAGGAGCCUGAGAAACGGCUACUACAUCCAAGGAAGGCAGCAGGCGCGCAAAUUACCCAAUCCCGACUCGGGGAGGUAGUGACGAUAAAUACUGAUACAGGGCUCUUUUGGGUCUUGUAAUUGGAAUGAGUACAAUUUAAAUCCCUUAACGAGGAACAAUUGGAGGGCAAGUCUGGUGCCAGCAGCCGCGGUAAUUCCAGCUCCAAUAGCGUAUAUUAAAGUUGUUGCGGUUAAAAAGCUCGUAGUUGAACCUUGGGCCUGGCUGGCCGGUCCGCCUCACCGCGUGCACUGGUCCGGCCGGGCCUUUCCCUCUGGGGAACCGCAUGCCCUUCACUGGGUGUGUCGGGGAACCAGGACUUUUACUUUGAAAAAAUUAGAGUGUUCAAAGCAGGCCUAUGCUCGGAUACAUUAGCAUGGAAUAAUAGAAUAGGACGUGUGGUUCUAUUUUGUUGGUUUCUAGGACCGCCGUAAUGAUUAAUAGGGACAGUCGGGGGCAUCAGUAUUCAAUUGUCAGAGGUGAAAUUCUUGGAUUUAUUGAAGACUAACUACUGCGAAAGCAUUUGCCAAGGAUGUUUUCAUUAAUCAGGAACGAAAGUUAGGGGAUCGAAGACGAUCAGAUACCGUCGUAGUCUUAACCAUAAACUAUGCCAACUAGGGAUCGGAUGAUGUUAUUUUUUGACUCAUUCGGCACCUUACACGAAAGUACAAGUUUCUGGG
rnacentral:rRNA from 1 species